UUGCUCAGGCCCUCACCUCCGGUUUUUCGUAUUAGUUUUUCGCCUUUUACUAAAGAUUUCCGUGGGGUGGGCACUCCAAUGAGCCUAUCGACCAAUAUAUAUAUAUAUAUAUAUAUAUAUAUA